UUUUCCAACCGGUGUAAGCCAGGUCGGUUUCUAUCCCCAAUUUUUUUAUAGUUUUUAGUACGAAAGGACCACUAUUAUGAAAUUUUUUUUUCUUUUGGUUAAAGUU
rnacentral:rRNA from 1 species